rnacentral:lncRNA from 10 species
GGUGUCAUAUGGGUGACAUCACUCCCCCAGCUAGCCAAUGGCUGGGGGCCGGCUCCGCCCAUCUUCCUUUAUUAACUCGGAGGCCCCGCCCCUCCACCCCGCCCUCCGGGCUGCUUUGCAAAGAUGGGGGUGGGGGGAGAGGAGGCAUGUCUAGAAAUAUGUUAUUUUUAAAAAAUCCGCGUGUGUGCACAGAUGCGCCUGUUCCCGGGAUGCUCGGAAGCGGCGCGCGGCACCACGGGGAGCGGGCGGCCCGGGGCGAACCGGGAUGGUUCGGGCGCCGGCGCUAACCGAGGACCGGGUCCCGGGAGAGGCCCCGCGCGCCUUUGUGCCCAGUCCCCGGGAGGCCCGACGGCGACAGCGGACGGCGCGCGCUCACUCCCCGGGUGCACACACUCGGGCACGCGCCCAGCCUGAGACGGCGGCCUCCGCCCGGCUCGCGGUCAGCCGCGCCCGGCCUGCCCCGGGGUGGGCGCAGCUGCUCCCCGGCGAGCCCCUCGCGGGGCUCGGCCGCUCCCCCGGGUCGCCGCCCCGAGCCCGCCCGGUAGCCCCGCGGCGGCCCUGGCCGACGGAAGGUGGCGCUUGAAGACAGCAACCUUCCCGGCACGUGGGCUCUGCUCUCCUUUUCCCUUUCUCCCUUUUUGUAAGGCAAAGAAAUCAAUUUAAAGCUCGAGAGGCGGUGAGCUCCCUCCCCCGUUUUGCAUUUUUCUGUUUUGUCCUUUUUCUCCGUCUGUUUUCCCUCCUCGGUGGUGUUUGGGGACGCGGCUGUGCGGGUUGGGCUGCGCCGCGCCCCCGCGCGCCCCGCCCCGGGCGGGGGCCGGAGUAACGGUCUGCGGGGCCCUCGGGUUCAAGCUGGCCACUCCCAGGGCUGGCUCCGGAGCGGGCUCUGGGUCCCGCAGGCUCCAGCAAGCCCGCGCCCCGCCCGGCGUCCCUGCGAGGGGCCCGGCGCCCUCCUUCCCUUCUCCCUCUGCUCCCCGCCCCUCCUCUCCCCGCCCCGUCCUCUCCCCGCCCCUCCGCCGCUCCUUUCUCCUUCCCAGGCCUCCUCUUCCUCUUUGUCCUUCCCCCAUCCUCGGUCGCCAGCGCUUCUCCGGCAGCCUCGUCCUGAAAUCGUGCGAUUGUGAGCUAGAAGCCUUCUGGGUCACUCAUAAACCAAAGAGAAAAUAAGGUGCACUCGAGUUUCCCGUCUAAAUAUUUUCCCUGGAGAUGGAAAGGUGCGCUGGCGGCCGGGGAGCCGCGACCUGGGGCGCGCUGGGCCUCGCAGAGCAGCCGCGGACCCCGGCGAUCGUGCCGUGUUCGUCUCCUUUGUGUUUCUUUAUUGAGUCCCUACUACCUCUACGGAUAUUCUGGGGGCAAUUAAAGAAAAUCACCGCUUCAUAGGCAGCACAUAUUUCCCAUAGAAAUGUGGAAUGUAAGAAAGGCACAUAAAGCAAUCCAAGUUGCCUGCAGAUAUCCACAGCCUACUUCAGUCUCAGUAAUGCUCUUUUAACCUGGUGCAUCAGUUUAAGGGAAGACAUGAGAUCAUGGGUUUAAGUGAGGCUUCAUCAUGCCAAGACAACGUGAUCAGUUAUUCCCAACCUAUAUAACUCACAUACACUGGAGGAAAUAUCUUCAUGGAAUUAAAACCACAUGGAGUAACAUUUCACGUAAGCAGAAUUCAGGAAUGAUUUCAGUAAUUCCAUCCCAAACACACACAGGCAAAGGGAGUGAAGAUUUCUUCAGCAACAUGGUGGCAGAAAGAUCAUGAAAAGAUCUAGGCCAGUCCAAGCUCACUGCAGUUAAAUCUUCAGUCUCCAGCACUGCACUUGGGAAAGCGUCAAGGAGUUGAAUGUAUAUGUAAUUGGAGUGCCAGAAGAAGAGAACUGAGAGAGAGGGGCAGAACAGCUCAUGAGGGGGAAAACCCACUACAUACAAACAAGAAUACUGCAGACUCCUCAUCAGAAUCUAUAUCCAUUAUCUACUAUAUGGUCAGAAGAUUCUGAAGGCAUGAAGACAUACUUCUCUGGGCCCUGGGAGGCUUCUGACAGGAGGAGUCACAUGCCUAGGAAGUAUCCUAACAGGAUGAUGCAGCAUGAAGGCCCCCCUCAGAUGCUGGUGCAAUGAUCUUGGACUUCCCAACCUCCAGAACCAUGAGCCAAACAAAUUUCUAUUGUUUAUAAAUUACCCCGUCUCAAGUAUUCUGUUAUAGCAACACAACUGGACUAAGACAGAGGGUUACACGUAUCUUUCACAGGAAUUCCUUGGGGCUUAAUACAAAUCCUUGAGAGUUCUAGCCCAGAUGCAGCCUAGAAAUGUGAAGAUGAAGGAGGUAGGUAGUAGGGUUGUUAUUAAUCCUAGGGGAAACCCUCCACUAUGGGAUUCUGAAAUCAGCAGAUAAAUGCUGCAGCCCCCAGACUUGUGAAGAAAUUUUUGAGAUUCAUCUUCUCUGGUUCUUCAGCACAUCACCAAGGCAUGGACCUGCAGUUGGCUCCAGCUAUAACUAGCUCAAUGAUGCAUCCUUCACUGUUUUUCUUUCUUUCCCCAUUUUUCUCUGUAUGUUUCCUUACUUUAGCUUCCUGGGAUCAACUCCCAAAUAAGCUACCUGAAGCCAACUGUUUGCCCAAUACACUUUCUUCAGGAAACCCAGUCUGAGACAUAAGAAAACAAAUCAAAUGCUAAUUCAGUGGUUCAGUUGGUAAAAAUAACAGAGACUCAGCCUAGUUGGCACUAGUGGAGAUAAAGAAAAGAGGACAACUUUGUUAUGCAUUUUAUAGACAGUCAUGAGGCAUGCAAAUUGGUGUAAUGUAUGCAGAAAAAGAAAGGGAAAUUUUCAGUGUGAUACUACAGUUAGUCCACUGUAUACCUAGAAUUGUCUUUUUCAGAGAAAGAUGGUGGCCUUUGGAAAAGGUACAGAUUUGGGAGGAAGAUCGUUAAUUCAAUUUGGGCAUGUUAUGUCCAAACUACAUUAAAUACUUGAGAACUAUUUCUUUAAUAAUGGAUGAGUGAAGUCAGUUCAUUUCCAAGCUUCUUAUUUGUCUUAUCUGUGAAAGAAAAAUUGUGAUGUCUAGUACCCAGAUAUGUAAAAAGUAAAUGUAAUCUACCACAUUAAAGCUCAAAAUGCUCGAUGUUUUUGCAAAUAUAAAAUAAUGUGACUUACUUUAAAGAUAAUAAAUUAAAUAUUAAACAUGGC